GCUGCCAUAUGAACCGAGUCGGUCGCCGGUCUCCUCCUGGCGGCCUCCGAGCGCUCGGUCCCGCGGCCUGGUGCUGCUCGUGACCUCUUGAGUUACGCCUCGCGGCUUCCCUAUGGUGCCAACUGCUCUGAAAACGCCCCGAACGAUGGCAGUGCUUGCUGGAGCAUCGAGAUGAGGCAAGCUGCUGGGUUUCGCCAGUGGCUCAAGCCUGCAGUCAUUGCCUCAACGAUAGUGGGACUUUGCUGCCUGUGGGUUUGCUUGCAGGAGUCUGUUUGCUGCGCCGAUCCACUGACAUCAGAUGGCCUGACCAAUGUUGCAAUCACUGGGUGUAAGGAGAUUCCACUCUGCUGAUCUGUUUGGGAUCUGCCUCAAAGGAAACGCAACAAACAGGUAUGGAGAAUUCACAGCCUCUCUGAGCAAACUGUUCCACCGUGUGACUGCACAGAUAGUAAAAUGUUCUGUCCUGCAGCUAAGGAGGUUUACCCAUGUUCCAGCUUGAGUCUGUCUAGACUGUCACACACAGCAGAGUGUGACUCCAGCUUCCCUGCAUCUUCCCAUUUUGUGGUCAUGGAGAGCAGUAACGUGUCCCCUGAGCCAGGCUGAAAAAUCACAGUUAUUUCAGCCAUCGUGCUGGCAUUAAACUUGACUUGCCCUUGGUCAUCAGUGUCUUUUUAUUACAGGGAGCUCAAAACUGGUCAUAGGAAUCCAGGUGUGUCCUUACAAGUCAGUGAGGAAUAACAACACUUGACCUACUGGCUACACCCUUCCUGGUACAAAGUAGUUGGCUUUCUGCAGUGUUGAAUCAUGUUCAGCAUGUUCAGUUGUUCAGUCCAACCACCAUGUUUUUGCUGCAAAAUUGUGUGGCAGUUUCCACCAUGAGCUAAUUAAGUCCAUAACAUCAUCCUUGUCUACCACCUAUAGUACAGAGAGAUGGUAAUACUUUAACCUUUCUCUGAAUCCUGGCUUGAUAUCUAUAUUUAGAAGGCUGUGUACAUUCAUGUUGUUAUUCCAGUGCAAUCCCUUCAUAUAAUGCCUCCAGAUUUUCUACACUCACUCCCAAGAGAAAGCAAAGUGGAUUAUAAGCAAAGACUUAUUAACAAACGCUGAUCAGACUAAGCCUAUCUUGGUCAGAGUGAGUUUUGAAAUCUUUUUGCUUGGCAGAUGUGGAAACCUGAGCAUAGAUCUGUGUUUAUGUUGCCUCUGCAUGCUACCAGCCCACAGAACAGGGCUGGGUAUUCUUUCAGUCCUACUGCAGCCCUUGGUCUUGGUUUCAGCUCUCUGCCAUAAUUAGGGGAUGAGUAUACAAAGCUAGCUGUAACUGCUCCCUGGUGUCUAAGUGUUGUGAGUGUUGUUGGUUAUGAAGCCAGCACUUUUGACUGCUUCAUCUUUAAGUUAGCUUAAUGUUAGGAAAAAAAGUAGCCCCAAAGAGUUAACUCAGAUCAAUGCUGCCAGCAGCUCAUUGCCUUUUCUGUGGUACAGAAAUGCCUGUCUCCACUGCCAGCUAUUCUUGCUUAAGGACAUCUGUCAAGUUACAUUUUUUGAAGCUCCUUUUAAGCCCAAGGUUAUACGUAGCUUUCAAGGAUUGUCUCCUUGGAAGGAAGGGGAUAGUUAUUUUGAUUCUCAACCAGUAUACACACAAUUAAGUUUUCCUGCCUGUAAGAAGGUGCUAAUUUUAAUUCAUAGUGUCGGAUGACAUUUGGUGUCCUGCUACACCAAAAUAGUCCUGACAGUUGGACUAGAUGGUCUUAGUGGUCUUUUCCUACCUUAAUUACUAUGAUUCAAUCAUCCACUAGGAUCAGAUAAACACUUUCCUUCACUGAAUAUCAUUUUGGUGCAAAAGUGUCUGCCUGGAAGCUAGCAUAAAAUAAGUACCUGUUUUCCUUGUUCUACUCUGACAGAAAGCCCUGAGCUUUGCAUUCAGAAGUGUUUUCAUCGCUUUAUGCAGUGCAGAAAUGAGACUUGUGUCAUCUAGUGGUAAUGACCGUGCAAUUUUCAGAUUGCAACCUGUCUGAAGAAUUAGUUGCACAUCCAAAUGGAAAAUUUACGUGAUCACUUUGCAGCAAAGUCAAUUAAAAUGUCCAUUGCUGCUUUUUUUUCCUCAUCAUUUAUUACAAGCCUUUAUUAUUUCUGUUGCGAUAGCACCCAGAGGCCAUUGCAAGGAGUGGGAGCUGUGUUAAGCAACAUGCUCCACAAGCACAUAGGAAGGCGGGAUAUUCUGCUUGGAAAUCUUGCAACCUUUGUGGAGACAAGCUACAGCAGAGAAUAUAAGCAGAACCAUCACCCAAAGUUCCUGUGGACACUGCCAAAUGCAACUGGAGAGGAGGAACAGGAGUCAGGUUCAAGAUCCACAGUGGUCUUGAAGAUCAGCCUGUUUAUCUUUGGGCUUGGAGAUAUUUUGUAAAUUUUAGAAGUUGUCUCAGUAGGAUUUGAUGGAGAAUCAUGGGUAGUGAAGGACCUUCAGAAACUGUUCUUGGAGUCCUCAGAAAAUGAGUUGUUCUUUUGCUUCUCAACGCCAUACAGUCCAGACAAUCAGAAGAUGAGAUUCAUGUAUCCCUUUUCUGAAGUGAUUAUAGAAAUUUAUACAUAUACAUGGACACCAAGUAUGUACACAUAUAUAUAUAAAUAUAUGUAUAUGUAUGUACCCUACAAGAACAGAAAUGUGCAGUGCAUAUAAAACCACAGACAUUUUCUGGCCUGUGUUGUAUGUUAGUGUCAUGCUCUAUCCGUAUAUCUGAGUCAGUGAAACAUUUGCUGUGGCAAAAAUCUGUUCUGACAUAGCUGUGUUCCCAGCUGGCACAGCAUAGGUUGCUGUGCUGUUCCCUGCUCGCUGACAAAGCACGGCACUUUGCAGAGUUUGGAGCAGCUCUGGGUGAACGUCAAAAGCAAGACAUUAUUAAAGCAUUAGUCCAGUGAGAAUGGCUUGUCAACAUAGUCAGAGCAAAAUCGUUUAGUUAACAACAGCUUAGAUACGUGUCUGAGACUCCGUUUUGCUGGGCAGACAAAGUUGCUAGGCAUGGGACUUGUUAUUGAGCUCCUGAGAGUUAGCAUCUCUUUAAAUCACCGAGAAGAUACAGCAACAAAUUUAUUGACACAUAUAUUUUAAGGUCAAGAAGGCUAUUAUUAUCACAUAAUGUUACUUCUUGGAUAUUGCAUUAUUUCAUUCACAAAAUCGUUGAAUCACAGAAUGGCCUGGGUUGAAAAGGUGAUCAGAUGAUCAUCUGAUUUCAACCCCCUGCUCUGUGCAGGGUCACCAACCAGCAGACCAGGCUGCCCAGAGCCACAUCCAGCCUGGCCUUGAAUGCCUCCAGGGAUGGGGCAUCCACAGCCUCCUUGGGCAACCUGUUCCAGUGUGUCACCACCCUCUGUGUGAAAAACUUCUUCCUAAUAUCUAACCUAAACCUUCCCUGUCUCAGUUUAAAACCAUUCCCCUUGUCCUGUCCAGGCUGGCCAUUUUGGUUAGCAUGCUUUGGAAGAUGUUGCUUCCUGUAUAUAACUAGCAAGCCAUCAAAUAUUGUCUCCUCUUCAUUCACAAAUAAACUUCUGGUUUUGCACAACAUAUGGGGAAAUUAAUAGAUUAAGCCUUCAGAUGCUGCUUUUUCACUCGUGGGCAAGUCACAACCCUUUUCUUUGAUAUUCUCUGAAUAGAUAGAGAUGCUUUCUUGAAGUGUGACUGUAGGGAUUCUUGACAUUAAAUCAAAAUAUAGCUCAUCAAAACACAAAAUUGUACAAAUGAGGCAAAUGGCCUGGGAUGUCAGACACAGACUUUGUAGUGUGGAUUUUCCCUUUUACAAGAAGCAUAAUCCACAGCUUACUAUAAUAAGUAUAUUGGCAGGAUGUAGACUUUUAACUGAAGGAGAUCGGAUCAGGAUAAGAGUCAGCAUUACAUUUACGAAUAGUAACUGAACCACCAAGACUUGUUUGACUAACUGAAUAAAGAUAUAGUUUUACUCCUUUGUUUCUUGAGUUGCUUUUUUGAAAUCUUCCCUUUAGAUCUGUCCUAAUGGAUAUUAAUGUCAAGAGAAGUCUGUCAGUGAUGUCUGGAUCUGUGAAACAAACCUUAUUUUGUCACGCUAAAUUAAAUUUUCCUGUUUUUCAAGCCAGAGCAUUGGCUUUAUUUGUUUUGUGAAUGCUAUCUCACCCAAAAAGACCUGGAAAAUAAAUGGAAGUCUAAUGAACCAAGUGGAAUAGAACAAAGUGGUCUUAACAUGAAUAGAACAUUAAUUCUGGU